AGGGAGGGUGAUACACGGAUAGAGCUAAGUUUUCUCUGUUCGUCACAUUCUACUCCCUAGAGAAAAAUUGGCUUUUUUUGACCGGGACGAAUUGAGGGAAAUCGUAACGGACAGAUACGGGACAGACAGAA